rnacentral:rRNA from 1 species
GUGCCCCUUGCCCCUCCCCCACCGACUGCAAAACGCGAAGAACCUUACCAGCCCUUGACAUGGUCGGACGGCUCCCAGAGAUGGGUUCCUUCACUUCGGUGACUGACACACAGGUGCUGCAUGGCUGUCGUCAGCUCGUGUCGUGAGAUGUUGGGUUAAGUCCCGCAACGAGCGCAACCCUCGCCUUUAGUUGCCAUCAUUUAGUUGGGCACUCUAGAGGGACUGCCGGUGAUAAGCCGGAGGAAGGUGGGGAUGACGUCAAGUCUUCAUGGCCCUUACGGGCUGGGCUACACACGUGCUACAAUGGCGGUGACAGAGGGCAGCUAGACCGCGAGGUCAUGCUAAUCCCAAAAAGCCGUCUCAGUUCGGAUUGCACUCUGCAACUCGAGUGCAUGAAGUUGGAAUCGCUAGUAAUCGCAGAUCAGCACGCUGCGGUGAAUACGUUCCCGGGUCUUGUACACACCG